rnacentral:rRNA from 1 species
GAUGAACGCUAGCGAUAGGCUUAACACAUGCAAGUCGAGGGGCAGCAUUAUUUUAGCUUGCUAAGAUAGAUGGCGACCGGCGCACGGGUGCGUAACGCGUAUGCAACCUGCCUGUAAUUAGGGAAUAACCCGGUGAAAGUCGGACUAAUACCCUAUAUUCUUCUUUCUCCGCAUGGGGAAGGACGGAAAGAUUUAUUGAUUACAGAUGGGCAUGCGUCCCAUUAGCUUGUUGGUAAGGUAACGGCUUACCAAGGCAACGAUGGGUAGGGGGACUGAGAGGUUGACCCCCCACACUGGUACUGAGACACGGACCAGACUCCUACGGGAGGCAGCAGUGAGGAAUAUCGGUCAAUGGGCGAGAGCCUGAACCAGCCAAGUCGCGUGAAGGACGACGGUUCUAUGGAUUGUAAACUUCUUUUGUAGAGGAAUAAAUGGCAAGCUUACGUGU